UGUUGUCGAAUUGCUCUGGCUAGGA
rnacentral:piRNA from 2 species